rnacentral:rRNA from 1 species
UGCCAGACUCCUACGGGAGGCAGCAGUGGGGAAUAUUGGGCAAUGGGCGCAAGCCUGACCCAGCAACGCCGCGUGAAGGAAGAAGGCUUUCGGGUUGUAAACUUCUUUUAAGAGGGAAGAGUAGAAGACGGUACCUCUUGAAUAAGCCACGGCUAACUACGUGCCAGCAGCCGCGGUAAUACGUAGGUGGCAAGCGUUGUCCGGAUUUACUGGGUGUAAAGGGCGUGUAGCCGGGCUGACAAGCCAGAUGUGAAAUCCGGGGGCUCAACCCCCGAACUGCAUUUGAAACUGUUGGUCUUGAGUAUCGGAGAGGCAGGCGGAAUUCCUAGUGUAGCGGUGAAAUGCGUAGAUAUUCGGAGGAACACCGGUGGCGAAGGCGGCCAACUGGGCUUUAACUGACGCUGAGGCUCGAAAGUGUGGGGAGCAAACAGGAUUAGAUACCCGGGUA